AUCCAAAGAACACCCCACCUACUGUGAAGCAUAGGGGGGAAACAUCAUGCUUUGGGGAUGUUUUUCUGCAAAGGGACCAGGAUGACUGGUCCAUGUAAAGGAAAGAAUGAAUAGGGCCAUGUAUCGUGAGAUUUUGAGUGAAAACCUCCUUUCAUCAGCAAGGGCAUUGAAUAUGAAACGUGGCUGGGUCUUUGAGCAUGACAAUGAUCCCAAACACACCGCGCGGGCAACGAAGGAGUGGCUUCGUAAGAAUUAUUUCAAGGUCCUGGAGUGGCCUACAGUGUGAUUUUCUGGAUUUUUUUUCUCAUUUUGUCUUUCAUAGUUGAAGUGUACCUAUGAUGAAAAUGACCUCUCUCAUCUUUUUAAGUGGGAGAACUUGCACAAUUGGUGGCUGACUAAAUACUUUUUUGCCCCACUGUAAAGGGCAGGUAAUCAAGGAGUUGAUGGAGUCCAGGUGAGUGUUAUUAUGUGCAUAACGAUGGUGACAGGUGUGCGCCUUAACGAGCAGCCUGGUGACCUAGAGGCCGGAGAGGGAGCACACGUGACAAUGUGGAACAAGUAAAGCGGUGUGAAUACUUUCUGAAGGCACUGUAUGUUCUCGGGCGGCAGGUAGCCUAGUGGUUAGAGCUUUGGGCCAGUCACUGAAAGUUUGCUGGGUUGAAUCCCCGAGCUGACAAGUCUCUGGAUCAGGGCCUAGUCCACAGUCUGUCUGUCCUGCACCGUCGAUUCAUUGAAGUAGAAGUCUUCAUCCAAAUCGAGAGUCCAAUCCCAUCAACAUCUGCAGUGGAAUGAACAUCAAGCUCAGCACCCGGAACUAGUUACAUCUGUGACGUACACAGCUGGACAGAGGAGGGGGAGGAAGUCCACUGUCAACACCCUGACCUGUACGAUGAUGAUCGUGGCAAGACGAAGUGGCUGUCCGUGGACUCAGUUGUGACCUCUCGGCAGUUGUGUUGGGCAAACGUUUCACAACAGAUCUCUCACACAUGGCCAGAUUCAAACAUACAGGCCAUCUGGAGGCAUUCCACAGUGCUCUACUGAAGUAUACCCCAAAGCACCAGUGUUUUGGGCUCCUAGGCAUGAAGGUGCGGACUCAUCUUGCUAUCCGGGAGCAUAAUGAGAAUGUGGGACACAAACAAGCCAGGACAGCCAAAGUAGACUUGCAGUACAAAGAAAUCUUCUGCAGAGGUUGAAGCAGUGGGUGGUGAAGAAAGUGUACAAGCCCAGAACCACUCAAUCAAUCACUCAGGAAGAGGCAAGACAGUGGUCUACAAGCAGCCAGAGUAACAGCUCUCCAAACACAACAUCCCUGCCGACAACGCCACAGCGCCAAAGCCUGCUAAUCCAACUGUCAUUGCCCAAGACAAGGUUCAACAGCUGAAGAACAUUCUGAAACUUGCCUGGAACAUUCAACCAACACAACAUCUAUAUUCAGUUAGACUGAUGUUGUAGUAUAACACAGAAUGCCCAGUAUGCUCACAAUUGCAUUCUGGUAUAGAUAUUGCUAACUCUUGUACAUAUGUAUAUAAAGGAGUAUGAUAAAAUAUUUUCUAUAAUAUUUAUUACAAGUGUACUGACAAGUUACUAAAUGUUUACAGUUGCAUCAGAAACCAGUACUGCCCUACCAAGCAAAAGUGCAGUAACGGAACAUUUGACCAAAAAUGACUUACUGACAUUUUUUAUACAUUAAAUACAUGCUUUAUCGUGUGGACAAAUGUCCUGCUUCCAUUGUGUUGUGUUAUGGAGAAAAUGGGGGGAAGGGAAAAAGCAGUAACUGCCUUCACUCACGUUCGCUACCGCCUUUUACCUCGGUGUCACAGACUUUUGGGUUGCAGUUUCUAUGGUUUAACUUGGUAUUAUACAGUAUAUUGUUAUUUGCUGGUACAAGUAUCAACCU